UGCCUGUACGUCGGACGAUUUUUGGCAAUUUUUGGUUAGUGUGGAGCUAUCGUGCCAUGGGAGGAUUCACCUGCUGCGUUCCUGGGUGCUACAACAACAGCACAAGGGACAAAGGCUUCGGAUUCUACGUGUUUCCUAAAGAGCGAAAGCUACGAGAGACGUGGAUCCAACGGAUUAACAGGGCCGGACGGAACGGCAGGUUCUCGAAGUUUACUCCAACCACAGGACACAGAGUUUGAAGUGCCCACUUCGAAGGAGGGAAAAAGACUUACAUGAACCGUGUGCCCACAAUAUUCCCUUUGAGACAGCAAAAGGUGGAGAAGAGGCGACCGUUGAGAAGAACAAAGCCUGAAGUUGUCAGGAGCUCAACUGUGCCACCUGGAUCUGAGCAAGAGGUCUCUGCCAUCGCUAGCAGUGACAGCGAUGAUCCUUUGCAGCAGGAAGUGCAUCUACACCUGGACCAUGCAUACAGCAGCCAACAGUGAAGUUAUGAUGAGCUUGUCGAGCAAGUUGCUAAACAAAAGCACGUCAUAACUGAACUCCUGGAGCAAGCUGAAGCAGCAAAUGCGACAGUGGCAGAGCUUAACAACCUGCUUAAACGAAGUCAGCAGGACCACGCCGAAACAAAAAAGCUGUGUGACCGUCUUCAGCAGAAGAACAGGUGCUUAAGACUUGAGUUAUCAGCAAUGCAGGAAAAAGUUAGACGUUGCAAGACUGAAGCUGCACAGAACAUGGAUAUCACAUAUGAGGCCCUUGUAAAAGACGAGAAAAAGCUGCGGUAUUACACUGGCUUCACAUUCAGCAAGCGCUUGGACACUUUUUGGUCCCUUCUAGAGCCAG